CCUACGGGCGGCAGCAGUGCGAAUAUUGCACAAUGGGGGAAACCCUGAUGCAGCGACGCCGCGUGAGUGAAGAAGUAAUUCGUUAUGUAAAGCUCUAUCAGCUGGGGAGAAAAUGACGGUACCUUAGUAAGCAGCCCCGGCUAACUACGUGCCAGCAUCCGCGGUAAUACGGAGGGGGCCAGCGUUAUCCGGAUUUACUGGGUGUAAAGGGAGCGUAGACGGCAGUGCAAGUCUGGAGUGAAAGGCGGGGGCUCAACCCUCGGACUGCUCUGGAUACUGUAAGGCUGGAGUGCAGGAGAGGUAAGUGGAAUUCCUAGUGUAGCGGUGAAAUGCGUAGAUAUUAGGAGGAACACCAGUGGCGAAGGCGGCUUACUGGACUGUAACUGACGUUGAGGCUCGAAAGCGUGGGGAGCAAACAGGAUUAGAUACCCCAGUAGUC
rnacentral:rRNA from 1 species